UGCAUUCACUACUGUAAGUCGCUCUGGACAAGAGUGUCUGCUAAAUGACUAAAA
rfam:Salmo salar isolate Sally breed double haploid chromosome ssa28, whole genome shotgun sequence.